UUGACCUCGGAUCAGGUAGGACUACCCGCUGAACUUAAGCAUAUCAAUAAGCGGAGGAAAAGAAACCAACAGGGAUUGCCCCAGUAACGGCGAGUGAAGCGGCAACAGCUCAGAUUUGGAAUCUGGCCCCUAGGGCCCGAGUUGUAAUCUGGAGAGGAUGUUUCUGGCGCGGCGCCUUCCGAGUUCCCUGGAACGGGACGCCGGAGAGGGUGAGAGCCCCGUACGGUUGGACGCCUAGCCUUUGUGAAGCUCCUUCGACGAGUCGAGUAGUUUGGGAAUGCUGCUCAAAAUGGGAGGUAAAUUUCUUCUAAAGCUAAAUACCGGCCAGAGACCGAUAGCGCACAAGUAGAGUGAUCGAAAGAUGAAAAGCACUUUGAAAAGAGGGUCAAACAGUACGUGAAAUUGUUGAAAGGGAAGCGCCCGUGGCCAGACUUGUACCCCGCGGACCAUCCAGCGCCCUCAGCGCCGGUGCACUCCGUGGGGCGCAGGCCAGCAUCGGUUUUCCCAGGGGGAUAAAGGCGGCGGGAACGUGGCUCCCUCGGGAGUGUUAUAGCCCGCCGCGCCAUGCCCCUGGGGGGACCGAGGACCGCGCUUCGGCAAGGAUGCUGGCGUAAUGGCCACCGGCGACCGU
rnacentral:rRNA from 1 species